CGUGAGGCACCUCCAACUCUGCCGCGCUCGAGUUUGUGACGUGUACAGCCCACUCGAUUUCAAUUUUGAAUUUCGAUUUCAAUAUACUGCUGCUGGCAGUGAUCGCUUACUCACUAGAGGAGUGGUGUGCAAUUUCUUUCACGCUAAGAAUGGACCACGCUAAGUGUAUAGCUCUGAUAAAGCUUUAUAAAUCCAAGGAGCCGUUGUGGAAUGUUAGAAACCCUUACUACCGUGUGAAAUCUGUACGUGAACAGGCGUGGAAGGAGAUCAGCGACGAAAUGAAGAUGCCUUUACACUUGUUAAAAAGGAAGAUGACAAUUUUACUGGCGUCAUACAGAAGUGAAAGGUAUAGAAUGAAGAAAUCUCACAACUCUGGUUCUGCAGCAGUUAAUGCUUAUGAAUCUAAGUUGUUUUGCAUUCAAAGAAUUCAACUUUAUGGCUGCAAAUUCAACGACCAAUGAUACUGCUGAUUCUUUACCAGAUGUGUAUGGAGCUUCGCGUACCACUGACACCUCAAAGGUCGACAGUCAAGGCUCCUUAACAGAUGUUGCCGCUGAAGAGACUAGAGCACUGAGGUCCGCAGAAGCCUCGGUAUCGCAUCGGAUCAGGAGCCUGCUCACAGAGCCCACGCCGGCCGCCGUCGGGACAGCUGAGCAGAACUGCACUUUGCUCCGGGAGGUGUUCGAGAUCCUCAAACCCAGCGCCACUGCAUCGACGGACGCCUAUGUUACAUUCGGUCAACAUAUCGCCAACGAGCUCAGAAAAUACGACCCGACAACCUUAGCCCAAGUGAAGCACGCUAUCAAUAACGUUAUUUACGAAGCCGACAUAGAGAGGUACUCUAACGGACGUAGAAGAGCAGAAAGCACAGCGAGGAAUCCAAUGUUCGCUCAAACCACAGGCGUGUCGUCGACACCCAGUAUGCACCGCGCGAAACAAGAGAAUGAGGAAAACGAAGCUCUGGAAGGCGCAUCUGUUCAAGACACACUUGUCUAUAUUUCGUGAAACAUUGACUAAACUUUCAAAAAGAUUUCGGGCUUCCAUCCACGAUAUUUCGACUGGACAACUGCCAGCCAUCCUCAGGUGAACCAUCGAAGACUGACGAAGACGCCCUCCGUUCUGUAAUAUAUAGCGUGCAGCGAGUAUUCCGUGCAUGCUUCAAAAUCAUAUGGAGAGAGGAACCACACCGCUCGCCAGCAGCGCCCUCGCUGGUGGAACUGUAGAACUCAGCUGUCUACGGCGUUGUCAAUUGCCGCGGCCAUCGGAGUACUCUGACGUCUUCGUCUGGAGCAGAUCUUAGAGAUGACGGGGUUCCACGCAUUAUCUAGCUGGUAGCCAUUGUCACGGUUGAUAAGAUUAUCUGUCAUGCGAAUUUCCACUGAUUCUCUUAUGACGGAGUCCCAAAAGGAUGUUGCUGUGGCCAAAAUUGUUGUCUUGUCAUACUCCAUUGAGUGUCCAGUGGAAAUGCAGUGCUCAGUGCUAUAUAUUACGGAACGGAGGGCGUCUUCGUCAGUAUUCGAUGGGUCAUCUGAGGAUGGCUAGCAGUUGUCCAGUCGAAAUAUCGUGGAUGGAAGCUAACGAUGACCGGCUGCAAUCCCGAAAUCUUUUCGAAUAUUCAGUUCGCCGGGAAAAUUUUAAAUUUCACAUUGUCUGAACUAUUCAUCUUAUACUGGAACUGUGUUUAACUCUGCGAUUAG